GGGCCAGGGGGUAAAUAUCCCAUUUAAUGGAAAUGCACAGCCCCUUCCUUCCCAAAUGCCGUUUGCUUCUGUUUUAUAAACAAAUUUUGCUUAUUUUUUUACUUCACCCCUUUCCUUUUUCUUUUUAAAAAAUUUACAGAGCCCACCUCCCCAUUUUUUCUUCUUUUCCUCUGCUAGGUUUUCAAAGCCUAGCUUGCGCCAAAAUAAAAAGAAGCAAAAUAGGUUUUCAAUCUUUCUCUGCUAGAGCAAAAGAGUUAGCCCAUCCUUGCAGCUGCUCCGUUGUGCGCACAACAACGAUGGCGGCCGGAAAAAAAAAUCAACGGCUUUGAAGGAGGUGAUGGGAUGGAGCAGAGGAGUCAAGCCUCGGGACGAAGCGCAGGUGGUGGGCCCGAGGAGGAGCAACGGCAGCUCUUAUGCUAGGGUUUCUUUUUUUUUUUUUUGCUGAAAGUUAAAGUUAUGGGCUUUUGGGCUAGGUUUAGUUUGGGUUUGGGUGAUUUUUAAGAUUGAGUUCAAUUUCAUCAAUUGGGCCGGGCGAAUUUGGGCCUGUAUACUAUGCUUCAUAAAAUUAAACAAAGACUAAUUGAACUACAUAACUGGUUUUGGAAAUAAAUUUUAGACUUAAUAUAUCAUUUGGUACCUAAA